AUUGAACGCUGGCGGCAGGCCUAACACAUGCAAGUCGAGCGGAUGAAGGGAGCUUGCUCCUGGAUUCAGCGGCAGACGGGUGAGUAAUGCCUAGGAAUCUGCCUGGUAGUGGGGGAUAACGUCCUGAAACGGGCGCUAAUACCGCAUACGUCCUGAGGGAGAAAUUGGGGGAUCUUCGGACCUCACGCUAUCAGAUGAGCCUAGGUCGGAUUAGCUAGUUGGUGGGGUAAAGGCCUACCAAGGCGACGAUCCGUAACUGGUCUGAGAGGAUGAUCAGUCACACUGGAACUGAGACACGGUCCAGACUCCUACGGGAGGCAGCAGUGGGGAAUAUUGGACAAUGGGCGAAAGCCUGAUCCAGCCAUGCCGCGUGUGUGAAGAAGGUCUUCGGAUUGUAAAGCACUUUAAGUUGGGAGGAAGGGCAGUAAGUUAAUACCUUGCUGUUUUGACGUUACCAACAGAAUAAGCACCGGCUAACUUCGUG
rnacentral:rRNA from 1 species